rnacentral:tRNA from 1 species
AAUAAUGAAGUAAAAAUUACAUUUAGUUUCGACCUAAAAUUAGGUUUAUAUUAACCCUUAUUU